UACAGAGGUCUCAAGCGUUGUUCGGAUUCAUUGGGCGUAAAGGGUGUGUAGGUGGCGCGCUAAGUCGGGUGUGAAAUUUCGGAGCUUAACUCCGAAACUGCAUUCGAUACUGGCGUGCUUGAGGACUGGAGAGGAGACUGGAAUUCAUGGUGUAGCAGUGAAAUGCGUAGAGAUCAUGAGGGAGACCAGUGGCGAAGGCGGGUCUCUGGACAGUUCCUGACACUGAGACACGAAGGCCAGGGGAGCAAACGGG
rnacentral:rRNA from 1 species